AUCCAGCUGAUAAGUCCUAAAUAGGAUGAAACGCGCAUCCUAGAU
rnacentral:hammerhead_ribozyme from 1 species